CACGUAGGGUGCAAGCGUUGUCCGGAAUUAUUGGGCGUAAAGAGCUCGUAGGCGGUUUGUCGCGUCUGCUGUGAAAACCCGAGGCUCAACCUCGGGCCUGCGGUGGGUACGGGCAGACUAGAGUGAUGUAGGGGAGACUGGAAUUCCUGGUGUAGCGGUGAAAUGCGUAGAGAUCGGGAGGAACACCAGUGGCGAAGGCGGGUCUCUGGGCCGAUAUUGACGCUGAGGAGCGAAAGCGUGGGGAGCGAACAGG
rnacentral:rRNA from 1 species